rnacentral:rRNA from 1 species
AUUGAACGCUGGCGGCAUGCCUUACACAUGCAAGUCGAACGGCAGCACGGGUGCUUGCACCUGGUGGCGAGUGGCGAACGGGUGAGUAAUACAUCGGAACAUGUCCUGUAGUGGGGGAUAGCCCGGCGAAAGCCGGAUUAAUACCGCAUACGAUCUACGGAUGAAAGCGGGGGACCUUCGGGCCUCGCGCUAUCGGGUUGGCCGAUGGCUGAUUAGCUAGUUGGUGGGGUAAAGGCCUACCAAGGCGACGAUCAGUAGCUGGUCUGAGAGGACGACCAGCCACACUGGGACUGAGACACGGCCCAGACUCCUACGGGAGGCAGCAGUGGGGAAUUUUGGACAAUGGGCGAAAGCCUGAUCCAGCAAUGCCGCGUGUGUGAAGAAGGCCUUCGGGUUGUAAAGCACUUUUGUCCGGAAAGAAAUCCUUGGCCCUAAUACGGUCGGGGGAUGACGGUACCGGAAGAAUAAGCACCGGCGAACUACGU